ensembl:lncRNA
CAGAAUGCUAAAAGAAGACUGGGGGUGUUUGUGUGCAUGCAGGGCAGCAGGAGAGUGUAUGAGCUGGAGGUCAGGAAUCAGGCCGCAGCUUUGGAGAGGCAGUUGAGAAGAGGAGCUUACAGAGACUCUCUGGAGGGCAGUGAGUACAUGCAGUAUCUAAGGCAGAGCCAGCAUGAGAUCCUGAGAGAGGAGGAGAGGAGGUACCGCUUCCUCGCUGAAAAACACUGCGGGUUGACGCAAACACUGCUGUUCCUCAUCAACAAGACAGGGGCCUCUCUGCAGCAGAAAGCUGAGGGCUGGAAGGAGAGAGUGAACGAGAGCCGGAGCUCCAGACCUCGAACUCCUACUCCGCUAGAACAGGAUGUACUGUUGAGGACGUCUGUGAGCUCUCUCCUCCAGACCGGAGACAAUAUGGACAUGUGGGCAGGGAAG